AUCAUUUCCUUCCCUCUCCCAUUUCUUCUUCAUUCCUUUUCUUUAUCGUUGCUAGGUUUCUUCCAUCUCCCACCUCUUCUUUUCUUCCCUCUCCACAGCGCAGCCAGGUUUUUCCCUCUCCGUAGCAAGCAAGUAGUGGCUCAAAGGUAACCCUAUUUCUCACUUCUUCCUUUUCCGCAACACCGCGCACAACCUCGCCAGGCGACGAGCAACCAUUUUACAAGCGAUCACACUCGAGAGGGCUGCAACCUCGCCAGGCCGCUGGUUCACUAGCGGCAUAUUCGCGAAUGGCUACACGCGAAGGGGUCGAUGCCUCACUAGGUAACCCAUUCACAAAUAGGCACAUACGAGGGGGACGAUGCCGGGCAGUGACCUAUAGCGAGGUAGCGACAUUGCUAUCUUCUUCUGAAACUCUCACCCUUUUCCAUCUCCAUAUACUAGUAGGAAGCUUGCCCUUUUCCUCACGCAGCACCGAGUCGAAUUGAUCGGUAUUUCCUUUCCCGACAUUCAUCUUCUCACAGGUUUGUGUCUUAAUCCUCGAUUGCCCCUCCCCGCUUUUCAAUUCUUCCCCUCAUGGCACGGUCUCGUAGCGCUCUUGCUGGAGCACGUCCGAAGGAUAUGUUGCGAGCACUGUAUUCUUCUCUUUUUCUAACUAUUUUCCUUGUUUGUUAGUUGGCACAUGUUCCCCUCCCCUUUUCAAUUUCUCCUCUCACGGCAUAGUUGUGAUGGCGGGUGUUGGUCUUGAUGCUUGUUGUCAUUGCGCUCAUGUUGGUGCACAGUUGAAGGAUCAAUUUUCUUCUUUAGACGUGUUCUUCAAAGAUCUGAAAUCCUUGAAGAAGGUAUGAUGCUCAAUUUUGUUUUGUUUUUUCUAUCUCCUUGGCUUUAGAAAUGUUUGAGUAAUUAAAUUGUGCUAUAGAAGACAUGAAUGGAAGAAUGAGAAUGAAAUAAAUCAGUCUGCAUGCAAUACCAGUAGAUUUACCACCAAUAAGCACAUCUCCCAUAUUAAACUAUCAAUUCAAUUUUAUAUAAAGGAGUGUGAAGAGGCAUUGGUUUUGGAUCCUGCUUUCAGGCAUGCACAGCAAAGGUUGGCAUCGUUGCUUAUAAGGUAAUGGCUUCAAAAUGUGAAGCGUAACUUUAACUUCAUCAACUUGAAGAAGCUGAUAUGGUCAUAUCCAAUGUAUUUAAACUUGAUAGUGUAAAUUCACCAUCCUCAAAUACUAAGUUUUUUGGUAUGCUGGCAAAUUCAUACUUGUAUGCUGUCAAUGUCGAAGUUGACAUGGCUCGAGGAAGGUUUGAAAAUGUCUUCACAAUAAGCAAAGCAGAUUUAUCCUAGAAAUGUGGAGAUAUAUACAUUAUUGAACAACACAAGAGCUAUAUCUCGAGCACGAGCAUUAGGCAAUGAACUCUUUAACUCAAGAAAAUUUAUGGAAGCAAGCUUAGCUUACGGGAAGGACUCAAGUAUGACCCUGCAAACCUUGUUCUUUACUGCAACUUGGAUAAUACGAAAAGACUGUUGAGGAUUGCAACAAAGCUUAGUAUUCAAGUCAACUACAUGAAUGCCCUUCUUAGUUGUGCUACCUCAUAUUCAGAGGUGAUAUGAUUCCCUUCUAAAAUUUAAUAUUUUGAGUAUAGUGUAUAACUAGUUUUGGAUGUAAAAGACUCAUCAUUAGUUUGCAUUUGUAAUUUUGACCCAAAUAUUUAUAGGAUGAAUUUAGAUGAUCUACUUGCAUUUUAAA